rnacentral:rRNA from 1 species
ACAGCAGCCGCCGCGGUAAUACGAAGGGUGCAAGCGUUAAUCGGAAUUACUGGGCGUAAAGCGUGCGUAGGCGGUUUGUUAAGUCUGUUGUGAAAUCCCCGGGCUCAACCUGGGAAUGGCAAUGGAUACUGGCAAGCUAGAGUGUGUCAGAGGAUGGUGGAAUUCCCGGUGUAGCGGUGAAAUGCGUAGAGAUCGGGAGGAACAUCAGUGGCGAAGGCGGCCAUCUGGGACAACACUGACGCUGAGGCACGAAAGCGUGGGGAGCAAACAGGAUUAGAUACCCCGGUAGUCCCUGUCUCUUAUAA